UAAACGUCAGCCCUCAUAGGCACCAUGCCCU
rnacentral:piRNA from 1 species